UACGGGGGGGGCAAGCGUUGUUCGGAAUUACUGGGCGUAAAGGGCGCGUAGGCGGCCUGCUAAGUCGGACGUGAAAUCCCUCGGCUCAACCGAGGAACUGCGUCCGAUACUGGUGGGCUUGAAUCCGGGAGAGGGAUGUGGAAUUCCAGGUGUAGCGGUGAAAUGCGUAGAUAUCUGGAGGAACACCGGUGGCGAAGGCGGCAUCCUGGACCGGUAUUGACGCUGAGGCGCGAAAGCUAGGGUAGCGAACGGG
rnacentral:rRNA from 1 species